rnacentral:rRNA from 1 species
CAAAGAAGAGUGCUAGUGUUAGAGGGUUUCCGCCCUUUAGUGCUGAAGUUAACGCAUUAAGCACUCCGCCUGGGGAGUACGGCCGCAAGGCUGAAACUCAAAGGAAUUGACGGGGGCCCGCACAAGCGGUGGAGCAUGUGGUUUAAUUCGAAGCAACGCGAAGAACCUUACCAGGUCUUGACAUCCUCUGAAAACCCUAGAGAUAGGGCUUCUCCUUCGGGAGCAGAGUGACAGGUGGUGCAUGGUUGUCGUCAGCUCGUGUCGUGAGAUGUUGGGUUAAGUCCCGCAACGAGCGCAACCCUUGAUCUUAGUUGCCAUCAUUAAGUUGGGCACUCUAAGGUGACUGCCGGUGACAAACCGGAGGAAGGUGGGGAUGACGUCAAAUCAUCAUGCCCCUUAUGACCUGGGCUACACACGUGCUACAAUGGACGGUACAAAGAGCUGCAAGACCGCGAGGUGGAGCUAAUCUCAUAAAACCGUUCUCAGUUCGGAUUGUAGGCUGCAACUCGCCUACAUGAAGCUGGAAUCGCUAGUAAUCGCGGAUCAGCAUGCCGCGGUGAAUACGUUCCCGGGCCUUGUACACACCGCCCGUCACACCACGAGAGUUUGUAACACCCGAAGUCGGUGGGGUAACCUUUUUGGAGCCAGCCGCCUAAGGUGGGACAGAUGAUUGGGGUGAAGUCGUAACAGGGAAAAACCGUGUAAAUCGUACCUUGCGAUUCAAAAUGUUAUCCGGGUAUUACCCCCCCGUUUCCCGGAAUCCUCCCACCUCUUAUGGGGGCGGUUACCCACUUGUUACUCCCCCGCCCGCCCACACAAUUACAAAAAAGCAACCUCCUCCCCCAUUCGCUCGACUCUGCUUGUGAUAGCGCUCCCGCCCUGGCGUUCAACGUGCGUCUACGACACAAUUUUUAAAAAAACGGGGGGGGGGCUUUUUACACAAAAAUAUCUUGGAAAAGAAUGUUGGCCCCUAAUUAUUCCCCCCGGGGGGGGGGACAUAUAAAAGGGUGUUUUUGUGGUGGGUUCUCCCGGGGGGGGCUAAUUUAUUCAGAGAAUGUUUUUUUUUCUCUCUAAAAAAAAAUUUUUAACAAAAAGAAAUUUUUUCUUUUUUAGC